AAAGUCAUGGUUAAGUGGGAAACGAUGUGGGAAGGCACAGACAGCCAGGAUGUUGGCUUAGAAGCAGCCAUCAUUUAAAGAAAGCGUAAUAGCUCACUGGUCGAGUCGGCCUGCGCGGAAGAUGUAACGGGGCUAAACCAUGCACCGAAGCUGCGGCAGCGACACUAUGUGUUGUUGGGUAGGGGAGCGUUCUGUAAGCCUGCGAAGGUGACCUGUGAGGGUUGCUGGAGGUAUCAGAAGUGCGAAUGCUGACAUAAGUAACGAUAAAGCGGGUGAAAAGCCCGCUCGCCGGAAGACCAAGGGUUCCUGUCCAACGUUAAUCGGGGCAGGGUGAGUCGACCCCUAAGGCGAGGCCGAAAGGCGUAGUCGAUGGGAAACAGGUUAAUAUUCCUGUACUUGGUGUUACUGCGAAGGGGGGACGGAGAAGGCUAUGUUAGCCGGGCGACGGUUGUCCCGGUUUAAGCAUGUAGGCUGGUUAUCCAGGCAAAUCCGGAUAAUCAAGGCUGAGGUGUGAUGACGAGGCACUACGGUGCUGAAGUAACAAAUGCCCUGCUUCCAGGAAAAGCCUCUAAGCAUCAGGUAACAUCAAAUCGUACCCCAAACCGACACAGGUGGUCAGGUAGAGAAUACCAAGGCGCUUGAGAGAACUCGGGUGAAGGAACUAGGCAAAAUGGUGCCGUAACUUCGGGAGAAGGCACGCUGGUGUGUAGGUGAAGUCCCUGCGGAUGGAGCUGAGACCAGUCGAAGAUACCAGCUGGCUGCAACUGUUUAUUAAAAACACAGCACUGUGCAAACACGAAAGUGGACGUAUACGGUGUGAC
rnacentral:rRNA from 1 species